rnacentral:rRNA from 1 species
GAUGAACGCUGGCGGCGUGCUUAACACAUGCAAGUCGAACGGUGAAGGCGGAGCUUGCUCUGCUGGAUCAGUGGCGAACGGGUGAGUAACACGUGAGCAAUCUGCCCCUGACUCUGGGAUAAGCGCUGGAAACGGCGUCUAAUACUGGAUACGAGCUGCGGAGGCAUCUUCAGCAGCUGGAAAGAACUUCGGUCAGGGAUGAGCUCGCCGCCUAUCAGCUUGUUGGUGAGGUACCGGCUCACCAAGGCGUCGACGGGUAGCCGGGCUGCGCGGGUGACCGGCACCACUGGGACUGAGAUACGGCCCAGCCCCCAACGGGAGGCAGCGGUGCGGAAGAUUGCACAAUGGGCGAAAGCCUGAUGCAGCAACGCCGCGUGGGGGAAGACGGCAUUCGGGUUGUAAACCUCUUUUCGCAGGGAAGAAGCGAAAGUGACGGUACCUGCAGAAAAAGCGCCGGCUAACUACGUG